GCAUAUCAAUAAGCGGAGGAAAAGAAACUAACAAGGAUUCCCCUAGUAACUGCGAGUGAAGCGGGAAAAGCUCAAAUUUAAAAUCCUUCGGGAGUUGUAAUCUAUAGAAGUGUUUUCGGUCGUUGCCUCGGACAAGUCUCUUGGAACAGAGCGUCAUAGAGGGUGAGAAUCCCGUCCUUGCCGAGCUCCCAACGUCUAUGUGAUACACUUUCAAAGAGUCGAGUUGUUUGGGAAUGCAGCUCAAAAUGGGUGGUAAACUCCAUCUAAAGCUAAAUAUUGGCGAGAGACCGAUAGCGAACAAGUACCGUGAGGGAAAGAUGAAAGCACUUUGGAAAGAGAGUUAAACAGUACGUGAAAUUGUUGAAAGGGAAGCGCUUGGAGUCAGUCGCGUUGCAUGGACUCAGCCUCACGGUGUAUUUCUAUGCAACGGGUCAACAUCAAUUUCGAUCGCGGGAUAAGGGCUUGAGGAAUGUGGCAUCUUCGGAUGUGUUAUAGCCUCCUGUCGUACACCGCGGCUGGGAUUGAGGUCUGCUACAGGAAAAGCACUUUGGAAAGAGAGUUAAACAGUACGUGAAAUUGUUGAAAGGGAAGCGCUUGGAGUCAGUCGCGUUGCAUGGACUCAGCCUCACGGUGUAUUUCUAUGCAACGGGUCAACAUCAAUUUCGAUCGCGGGAUAAGGGCUUGAGGAAUGUGGCAUCUUCGGAUGUGUUAUAGCCUCCUGUCGUACACCGCGGCUGGGAUUGAGGUCUGCUACAGGA
rnacentral:rRNA from 1 species